rnacentral:rRNA from 1 species
AUUGAACGCUGGCGGCAGGCCUAACACAUGCAAGUCGAACGGGUGGCGGACUGGUGAGUAAUGUCUGGGAAACUGCCUGAUGGAGGGGGAUCACUUCUGGAAACGGUAGCUAAUACCGCUUACCUUCAUUUAUUCCCAGAUGGGAUUACCUUGUUGGUGUGGUAACGGCUCACCAAGGCGACGAUCCCUAGCUGGUCUGAGAGGAUGACCAGCCAAACUGGAGCUGAGCCACGGGCCAGACUCCUACGGGAAGCAGCAGGGGGGAAUAUUGCGUAAUGGGCGCAAGCCUGAUGAAGCGAUGCCGAGUGUAUGAAGAAGGACUUCGGGUUGUAAAGUACGUUCAGCGGGGAGGCGUUACCCGCAGAAGAUGCACCGGCUAACUCCGUGCCAGCAGCGCGGUAAUUC